rnacentral:rRNA from 1 species
CGCAUCUGUGCAUGCAGCAUAUCAAUAAGCGGAGGAAAAGAAACUAACAAGGAUUCCCCUAGUAACGGCGAGUGAAGCGGGAAGAGCUCAAAUUUGAAAUCUUAAAGGGUUUCCCUUUACGAAUUGUAGUUUAAAGAAGUGUUUUCUGUUGAGGUUUUGGUAAAAGUUCUUUGGAAUAGGACAUCAUAGAGGGUGAGAAUCCCGUAUUUGACCUUUACUUUCAACUUUGUGAUACACUUUCAAAGAGUCGGAUUGUUUGGGAAUGCAGUCCAAAAUGGGUGGUAAAUUUCAUCUAAAGCUAAAUAUUGGCGAGAGACCGAUAGCGAACAAGUACCGUGAGGGAAAGAUGAAAAGAACUUUGAAAAGAGAGUUAAACAGUACGUGAAAUUGUCAAAAGGGAAGCGUUUGACACCAGUGUUGUUUUUCUCGAAAAUCAAUUAAAAGAAGUUAUGAUUUAAGUUGUGUAUUGACCUUAUCAGCUAACUGCAUUUCAGUUUCUUGAGCUUUUCUUUAAUGCACUUUUCAGUUAACAAGUCAACAUCAAUUUCUUUUGCUGUAAAAAAGCUUGAGGAAGGUGGCUUGAGAUUCGUCUUAAGUGUUUAUAGCCUCUUGCCUAUGCAGUCGGAGAGAUUGAGGUCUGCAGCGUAGAUCCUUCGGGGCUAAAUGCAUUUGUGCUAAGUUAUAGCAUUUUAUAGACAACUUGUUGACUAUGAUUUGUCUUGUAGCUUACUCGCUUAUGUUAUUUUACCUACGCUUAGGAUGUUGAUCUCUCACAGUCGAGC